AACGGCCGCGGUAUCCUAACCGUGCGAAGGUAGCGUAAUCACUUGUUCUUUAAAUGAGGACUAGUAUGAAUGGCACCACGAGGGUUAAACUGUCUCCUUUUUUUAAUCAGUGAAACUAAUCUCCCCGUGAAGAAGCGGGGAUUCUUUUAUAAGACGAGAAGACCCUAUGGAGCUUUAAACAAGUUAACACCUGCUACUAACCUUCACUUUCCUGAACCACCACACUAAGUAUAGCACCUCUGAUUAACAGUUUUCGAUUGGGGUGAUCAUGGAGCAAAAAUCAACCUCCACGACGAAAAGGAACACCUCCUUGAGCCAAGAGCUACAACUUUAAGCACUAAAAAACUAACGCACUUUGACCCAAUUCUUUGAGCAACGAACCAAGUUACCCUAGGGAUAACAGCGCAAUCCAUUUUAAGAGCUCCUAUCGACAAGUGGGUUUACGACCUCGAUGUUGGAUCAGGGUAUCCCAGUGGUG
rnacentral:rRNA from 1 species